UCAGUCAAGUGAACCGGAAGAUAUUGAUGGAUUUAAAAUUACCGCAUGGGUCAUAAGAGCUAAGUCAUGGUCCGGCGACAACGUCCGCCACACCGCCGACAGAUAAUACAGAUUACAGCGGCAGUGGCGACAGAUCACGAUCAGCUGUUAAAUCGUUUUGAACCACAGCUGAUCGCUCAGUCAGUUAUAUGUUCCACCGUUUUCACUGUUGCAUCAAAUGUAACCUGAGACUUUACGGUUGGCCGGUAGUUUAGAAAAUACUGGCGUUUUUCUUCUUUUGUGGUUCGUUUAGAGAGGUUUUUCAUGUGAUUAUGCAAUAAAUUGUGAUUGUUUGAACUAAAAAAAUUGAUUUAGUCGAAGAAUUUCAUUCCUAGAAACUAUGUAGGCCUACAUGACGUUAUAUGAUUGGCGAUGACUGUAAAUCUUCAAUCAUGAUAUCGUCACUUUUCCUUCCAAGUCUGGGACAAUAACCUAUCAACAAAAAACAAUUAGGCGUGUUUACAAUAGACAAUAGUGACAAUAAUACCAUGCUGCUAACAAAAGAACAAUACCAAGGCACGAGAAACAUGCACGAUUAUAAAUUAUUGUCAGCUCAGUCGACAGGAUGACGUAGCAAAAAUAACCUCAACGGAUGGGUCAAGAACAAGUGGAUAGAAUAGAUAAACUUGCAUGACUGGAAAUUUUCUUCGGAAAACACUGAAAUCUAUUCCUGGACAUCUAUUUCAAAUACUAUAGUGUACUAGUAUCUGAAAAGUAUUAAUUAAACCAAUAAAUUUAAGCA